GAAACAUUUCUGAGACCAGACGGAGUUGAAAGUAUAUUUUUCGCUGUACUGUACAGAUUGAAUUCAAAGAACUUUCUGUUGUAGAGUCACGAUGGAAUUUGCUUGUGGGUUUGUUUAUGUGCCGCCAUCAUUGAGUCAGAAGGAGAGACGCUAUCCAAACAUCACUAAACGUUCAGCUCUUCUUCCUCCUAAUCCUCGGCUUCGUCCUCAGUCUCCUCCUCCUCCGCCGCCUGUCCCACCAAGAAAGCACCUUGAGACAGAGUCAGAAAAUAGCAAGGAUGUGAAGAAAGUCCUGGAGAACUCUGUUUUCUAUGAAAAUACUAUACUGGCAGCAGCUUCUUUGAACAGUGUAAAACCUGAGCAGCCAACACCACCUAAAA